GACGAACGCUGGCGGCGUGCUUAACACAUGCAAGUCGAACGGAAAGGCCCCUUUGGGGGUACUCGAGUGGCGAACGGGUGAGUAACACGUGAGUAACCUGCCCUUGACUUCGGGAUAACUUCAGGAAACUGGGGCUAAUACCGGAUAGGAAUCCUUGCUGCAUGGUGGGGGUUGGAAAGCUUCGGCGGUUUUGGAUGGACUCGCGGCUUAUCAGCUUGUUGGUGGGGUAGUGGCUUACCAAGGCUUUGACGGGUAGCCGGCCUGAGAGGGCGACCGGCCACAUUGGGACUGAGAUACGGCCCAGACUCCUACGGGAGGCAGCAGUGGGGAAUAUUGCACAAUGGGCGGAAGCCUGAUGCAGCAACGCCGCGUGCGGGAUGACGGCCUUCGGGUUGUAAACCGCUUUCAGCAGGAGCGAAGCUUGUGGUGACGGUACCUGCAGAAGAAGCACCGGCUAACUACGUG
rnacentral:rRNA from 1 species